UCCGUUUUGUCAACGGCAGUCUCAACCGAGUUCCCGGCAUUACCCGCUGGCAACAGUUGAUAAGGGUUGCGCUCGUUGCGGGACUUAACCCAACAUCUCACGACACGAGCUGACGACAGCCAUGCAGCACCUUGCACUCUGUCUGGUUUUACCCAGAAGGCUCCAUCUCUGGAGUUGUCAGAGGCAUUCUAGCCCAGGUAAGGUUCUUCGCGUUGCGUCGAAUUAAACCACAUGCUCCACCGCUUGUGCGGGUCCCCGUCAAUUUCUUUGAGUUUUAACCUUGCGGCCGUACUCCCCAGGCGGAUAACUUAAUGCGUUAGCUGCGCCACCGAAAGCCCAUGGCCCCCGACAGCUAGUUAUCAUCGUUUACGGCGUGGACUAC
rnacentral:misc_RNA from 1 species